rnacentral:rRNA from 1 species
UAGGGAAUCUUCCACAAUGGACGCAAGUCUGAUGGAGCAACGCCGCGUGAGUGAAGAAGGUUUUCGGAUCGUAAAGCUCUGUUGUUGGUGAAGAAGGAUAGAGGCAGUAACUGGUCUUUAUUUGACGGUAAUCAACCAGAAAGUCACGGCUAACUACGUGCCAGCAGCCGCGGUAAUACGUAGGUGGCAAGCGUUGUCCGGAUUUAUUGGGCGUAAAGCGAGCGCAGGCGGAAUGAUAAGUCUGAUGUGAAAGCCCACGGCUCAACCGUGGAACUGCAUCGGAAACUGUCAUUCUUGAGUGCAGAAGAGGAGAGUGGAACUCCAUGUGUAGCGGUGGAAUGCGUAGAUAUAUGGAAGAACACCAGUGGCGAAGGCGGCUCUCUGGUCUGCAACUGACGCUGAGGCUCGAAAGCAUGGGUAGCGAACAGGAUUAGAUACCCUGGUAGUCCAUGCCGUAAACGAUGAGCGCUAGGUGUUGGGGACUUUCCGGUCCUCAGUGCCGCAGCAAACGCAUUAAGCGCUCCGCCUGGGGAGUACGA